rnacentral:rRNA from 1 species
UACGUAGGGGGCAAGCGUUGUCCGGAAUCAUUGGGCGUAAAGAGCGCGUAGGCGGUCCGGUAAGUCCGCUCUGAAAGUCCGGGGCUCAACCCCGGGAGGCGGGCGGAUACUGUCGGGCUAGAGUCCGGAAGAGGCGAGUGGAAUUCCUGGUGUAGCGGUGAAAUGCGCAGAUAUCAGGAGGAACACCAAUGGCGAAGGCAGCUCGCUGGGACGGUACUGACGCUGAGGCGCGAAAAGCGUGGGGGAGCAAACAGG